CAGUGAUAGGCUGAGAGCCUCGUCAAACAUAUGCACAUUGUUUAACCUGUAGCCAGUAAUAGGCUGUAUUACCAUAAAUGAAGCUGUCAGCAUAUUCACUAAACUGAGAAUUGCUGAAUGCUUAGUUUUACACCCAAAUAGCCAAAGAUGAAAGCAUAGCUAACUUGGAGAAUUGUUCUAAUUUGGCCUUAAAUUUGAGUUCCAUACAAUUCUCACGUUAGUAAAUAGCCCUGCUUUUGUUUAACUAUAAUAGGUAAUAAAAUGUUAACAUGUUACAACUUUCUGAUCAUAUUCAUUGUCAAACAAGUUGAAUAUUAAGAAGCACAAAUUACACUACUAUCCCCAUUAUCCAUUGAGUCGAGGAUCAUGGUGCUGUUCGUCAGUAGCUGGAAAGUAUUCAUUGUAGUUCUCCCAUGUAAGCCAG